CAGAGUAGGCAGAUGAGCGUAAUACCGUGCUAUUGCGGUAUCAGUGCCGAAUGAACGGGGAGUUGUCAUUCGGACGAAAAGGUCUUGCACCUUGCGGUUCAUCUGCCGCAUCCCGCUG
rnacentral:ncRNA from 1 species